AUUGAACGCUGGCGGCAUGCCUAACACAUGCAAGUCGAACGCGAAAGUCCCUCGGGGCGAGUAGAGUGGCGGACGGGUGAGUAAUACGUGGGAAUCUACCUGGUAGUGGGGGACAACCCGGGGAAACUCGGGCUAAUACCGCAUACGUCCUACGGGACAAAGGGGGCCUCUGCUUGCAAGCUCUCGCUACCAGAUGAGCCCACGUCCGAUUAGCUAGUUGGUAGGGUAAAGGCCUACCAAGGCGACGAUCGGUAGCUGGUCUGAGAGGAUGGCCAGCCACACUGGGACUGAGACACGGCCCAGACUCCUACGGGAGGCAGCAGUGGGGAAUAUUGGACAAUGGGCGCAAGCCUGAUCCAGCAAUGCCGCGUGUGUGAAGAAGGCCUGCGGGUUGUAAAGCACUUUCAGUGGGGAGGAAAAGCCUGGGG
rnacentral:rRNA from 1 species